ACGACUAUAUCACGUAGAAAGACCGGUUCUCGUACGAUCACCGAAGUUAAGCAACCUCGAGUCUUGCCAGGAACUAGAUGGAUGACCUUUUGGGAAUGCUAGGUGCUGUAAG